GUUCUUCACAUGGCUCUAAUGGACUGCUUGUGAUUCAUUGCCACACUGAGUGCUGAGAUGUUUGGAUUGUGAUUUCACUUUUUGGAUCAUCAAUCUAUCCAAUCUUUCCAUCGAUCUACCUCAGGUCAGUUCGAGUCUCUACAUCGCCUCCGUGACUUCUCAUCUUCUCUCCUGUCAGAGAGCGCUGACUCACAGGAAGUGGAGCUCAGCGGGGUGUGGACUCCGUGUGUGUUUGUGCUUUUGUCCUCUAUUAGAAAUCUUUCAGACGGUGAGUUCCAGCAUCAGAGCGCUGAACCAUUUCACUGUUUCAUUUAAAGCAGUGACACAUGAACCACCGUUUCAUCACACACUGACAGACGGAAUGAGAAAAGCAAUAAACUCCACUUUCCUCAUGCACUUUGUGUAUUUACUGAUUUAUUACGAGAGAGAUUUACAGCACAGCAGCGACGCGUCUGAACUGUCAGCGGAGCUCAUUUUCAGCAAAUCUUACAUCUCAUGUCGCUUUACAGCUCCAGAACUCAGCACCGCUUUUCUUUAAGCUGUCAAAAUGCCUUUCAAAAAUAUUAUGUUUUUAAUUUAGCAUUUAAUUGAUAAUA